UGCUGCAUGAAUCUCUGGUCAACAGCAUCAAAUAGAGUGAGAGAUUUUAUUAAAUAAAACUCAUAUUUGUACACUUUUACUCUGUUAAGACGCUGAGUUUGGCGAAUAGAAGCAUAUCAAGAGAUUAUUGGUGAAAAAAACAGAUUAUCAGUCAUGGCAGAGUGCAAUGCCGAAUGGGAAUUAUGUAAAGAAAACAUCCAGCCGCUGAGACAGGGUCGUGCCAUCUCUGCCCUGCACCAGGCACUUAGUCAGCAACAAGAGGGAAACAACACUGUUCUCAAUCAGAAGAAACAAGCUUUUGAGUCUGAGCUGCGGCUAUAUGAUGGAGAUGACCCACUCGAUGUUUGGGUCAGAUAUAUAAAAUGGACGAAGCAGACGUACCCGCAGGGAGGAAAGGAGAGUAAUUUAUCGGUUCUUUAUGAAAGAGCGGUCAUGUGCUUCACAGACGACAAGAAAUAUCAAAAUGACAUCCGCUACAUUGAACUCUGGAUCGAGUAUGCAGUGAACUGUUCAGACCCGAUGGAUGUCUAUCGCUACAUGCAAGCUCAAGGGAUCGGGAUUGCCCAGGCUGUUCUGUACAUCGCCUGGGCUGAAGAAUACGAGAAGAGGGGGAAUUUAAAGAUGGCCAACAGCAUAUUUCAAGAUGGCAUUAAGUGUGGCGCAGAACCGACGGAUAAACUCCACUCUUUUCACAGAGCUUUGCAGGCACGUGUGUGCAGACAGAUGAUGUCAUCAAUGACUGAACAACAGAACGAUGAUGAUGAGGAUGGAGGAGAUGAAGGACCCACAGAGCCUCAAAGAUUCUCAUUGGCUGAGCUGAAAUCUAAAGGGAAGAAGAAAGGUGUAGUUCCCAUAAACCGAGUGAAUGCGUCAGUUGGAUAUGCACGUGGACUGCAGUUUAAACAGCCAGUAGGCCCUAAACAGAACGCUCGUCUAGUGAUCUUUGAUGAAAAUAAAGCACCUGAAACUGAAUCACAAGAACCCAAACUAGAGAUCUGGAUGGCACCACCUACAGCCCAAGCCAAAGAGAACGAACAGAAACCUGAGAAAUGGACCAAUGUGAAGUUGCCUCUGAAGUCACGAUCGGGUCUCAGUUUCGUGGUUCCGCCUCCCAAACCCAGUUUCCAGCCCUUUGUAGAAGAGGACGUCAAGCCUCCUGCUGUGACUCCGUGUAAAAUCAACCCAGCGGUGAACAGUGUCCUGUCGGCCAGGAAACCCUGUAAACUGGAGCAGACACCCUUAAAGAUGCUACAGGAGCGACAACAACACAUGCAGCUGGAGCAGAAUGAGGACAGAAAGACGCGUGAACAGAGCAUGUACUGUAAAGAGCUGCUUUACAGCGGAGCCACAGAGUUCUGCUUCGAAGAGCUGCGAGCCGAGAGAUGUCAACAGAAACAACAAACGCUCAAACUACUAACCAACAGCAGCGCUCCAGACGAAAAAGAGUGUUUCGAUUCUAAUUCAAACUGAAAAAGUGGACAGAAGGGCUGCGUUUUAAAGUCUAGUGAGCUUACUACCUAGACAACAGUUUUGGGAUAAUUUGAAAGUCCAAACACGCCUUAAAAUACUUACUGGAUAGGUAGCUCGCUAGAUUUUGAAAUGCAGAAAUUCUCUGAGUUUUUGUACAUAUGUGUAUAUAUAGAUGUAUAUUUUUUGUACAUGCUUUUUGUAACCACAUUUUGAUCACUGAGGACAGAGCGGUCUUGAAUAUCUCACAUUUUAAACAUUGCUUUAAGUGAUUUUUGUUCUGUGGGGUUUAUACUGUAGUGUUGAAGGUGUGCUAAUUGACACUUGGAUAAAUGCAAAACAUGCCAUAACAUCAAAAUUGCUUGCACUUUGUCGAAUUAUAUAAUCAGAACAUUUUCUUGGAAAAAGUAAUUUUAUUAACCGUGAGUGACUAUAUUGUCUAAGUGUGCGUUGUGCAAAGCAUGUAAAUCCUGGAAAUAUUACAAUAGUGUUGCCUGGGAAAAUCACAGAAACUUUGAUAGGGAAUAUACUUUUUUUUUUUACUGUUUUAAAAUAUUUUAUUGGGUAAAUAUUGCUCUUUUGUAGAAAUUGUGUAGAGGGUAAAAGUUGCUUGCAAGCCAUAGUGAUGUCUGAUUUAGAUGUUGAACAAAUAGUGGAUGGAAAAGGCAGAAAACCGAUUAAUCGGCUGAUAUUUAUUUAUUUAUUUAUUUAUUUGGAAUGCCCAAUUCCCAAUGCGCUCUAAGUCCUCGUUGUGGUGUAGUGACUGGCCUCAAUCCGGACGAAUCCAACAGAGGACGAAUCUCAGUUGCCUCUGCGUCUGAGACCGUCAGUCCGUGCAUCUUAUCACGUGGCUUGUUGAGCGCGUCACCGCGGAGACCUAGGGCGUGUGGAGGCUUCACGCUAUUCUCUGCGGCAUCCACGCACAACUCACCACGUGCCCCACCGAGAGCGAGAACCACAUUAUAGUGACCACGAGGAGGUUACCCCAUGUGACUCUACCCUCCCUAGCAACCGGGCCAAUUUGGUUGCUUAGGAGACCUGGCUGGAGUCACUCAGCAUGGUGGUAGUCAGCGUCAAUACUCGCUGAUACAAACCCAAAACACACUAGGGAAAUGACAGAGACUUGGCCCCAUUACAAUGCUCUAGAAUAGAUUAAGUAUUGACCAAAUUAAGCUUUUUAUAGUCUAUAUAUUCACCAGAUGAAGGGUUAAAUAUAUAUAUAUAUCACCAGGUGAAUUUUUUACAUUAUUAUUCACAAGAUUUGAAGCUGGAGACAUGAUGUCGUGUCAGGGCACAUUUUGAUAUAGUCGCAUUUUUCUUUGCAUGCCCUCACUUCAAUUAAGAACACAUGCAUUGACGGAUAAAAAUAUGGAUGAAUAUUGAAUGAAUGUUGAAUUUUGUUCUAAAACUAUCAGCAACUAUCGUUGAUUUUUGCCGAUAACUGAUCGUUCCAAAAAGCAACUAUCGGCACCGAUUAAUCGGUAAAACCGAUAUAUCGGUCUACCUCUAGUCUGAUUUGUCAGUGACUUGUUCUAUUGAGUCAGAUCUUUUCAAUGAAUUUGUUCAAAUGGUUCACAAAUCGGUCUGAAUCUAUAUGAAUCUUUAAAAAUCUGUGUCCGGAAAUGUCAUGGAAAUUAAUUGAUCAAAAAGGGGCGGGAACCCUGACAAAAACAAGACUCGUAUUCAGACAACAAUCGCAAUUCAGGCACUAGUUUGUGAUUUGACAUAUUAACAGUCUGCUCACUUCAAGUCUAAAUGUAUUUUUAUUUCAUGUCUUAUUCUAUAAGUGUUGUGGUUGUAAAAGUGCACAAAUAAGAUGUUGGCUCCCUCAAAAACAAUUAAGAAAGAAAAUUGUGAAUGUCAUUAAUUCCUCUGUCAGCAGGUGGAGUGAAGUGUGAUGUUGGGCCCCUCUGAGAGCCUUCCAGCAGCUAAUGAUGUUUGAGUAUCUAAUGGAGUUGAUGAUUUCAUGUGAUAAUAUUGAUCUCGUUGUGGUUUUAAAUAGUAAACACUGAGCAUUUCCCUCAGGAGAAACAAAGUGAGCAAAAAUUAUAAAAAAGAAAAAUGUUAUCUGAUAAAUCUGCAACAUGACCUGCUGCACCAAUUUAACAUUGUUAUCGUACAACUCUUUUACAUUUUCAAAAAAAUAUGAUUUUUAAAAAUAUAUUGUAAAAUAUUACAAUACUGCCAAAGAAGCCAAGAGCUUACACUGUAUCUGGAAUAAAAUAU